CCACAGAAAAUGUAGGAAAAUGUAAAGAAGGGUAGGGUCUGGGUGUGCCAUGGCUGCAAACAGCAGCCUUCUUGGUAGUGUACGCAGCCUGUAGCUUGUAUGGGUUGCCUGAAGGGACCUUGGAGACAGCC